rnacentral:rRNA from 1 species
UACGUAGGUGGCAAGCGUUGUCCGGAUUUACUGGGCGUAAAGAGCUCGUAGGCGGUUCGGUAAGUCGAAUGUGAAAUCUCCACGCUCAACGUGGAGGGGUCAUUCGAAACUGCCGUGACUUGAGUACGGUAGGGGAGUGUGGAAUUCCCGGUGUAGCGGUGAAAUGCGCAGAGAUCGGGAGGAACACCCGUAGCGAAGGCGGCACUCUGGGCCGAUACUGACGCUGAGGAGCGAAAGCGUGGGGAGCAAACAGG